UCCUACGGGAGGCAGCAGCGGGGAAUAUUGGACAAUGGGCGAAAGCCUGAUCCAGCCAUGCCGCGUGUGUGAAGAAGGUCUUCGGAUUGUAAAGCACUUUAAGUUGGGAGGAAGGGCAGUAAGUUAAUACCUUGCUGUUUGACGUACCGACAGAUAAGCCCG
rnacentral:rRNA from 1 species